rnacentral:lncRNA from 1 species
UCGGCUUCGAGCGGGCUCUGCUUUAAGCAGGGUCAACGGCCGGGGAGAGGUCGGGUAAAGCACUCUCGUCAACAAGCAAUGAGAGAGAUGGAGCGAGAGAAAAUAGACUGAGCGAGCUCAUUGAUGUGUAGCACGGGAUUUGUCAUGGUGGUGUGAGGUAGCAGGAAGAGGAAUGGAGAUGAUGUGUGGUGGCUGUGCAGGGGGAUCUGCCAUGAUGGUGUGAGGUAGCAGGAGGAGGAGAUGAUGUGUGGAUAAGGAGCUUCCAGUGCGGCUCAUUGAGGAUUUGGUGACUGUUGCUUCUUUCUUUAUCAAUCGUUGUUGCUGGAUGCACCGAUUAAAAAAACAAUGCUCAUCCAUUGAAUUUAUGUGCGACUGUUCAUGGCGUUUGAAAAAAAAA